CCUACGGGAGGCAGCAGUGAGGAAUAUUGGUCAAUGGGCGGAAGCCUGAACCAGCCAAGUAGCGUGCAGGAUGACGGCCCUACGGGUUGUAAACUGCUUUUAUACGGGAAUAACGCGCCUUACGUGUAGGGCUUUGCAUGUACCGUAUGAAUAAGGACCGGCUAAUUCCGUGCCAGCAGCCGCGGUAAUACGGAAGGUCCGGGCGUUAUCCGGAUUUAUUGGGGUUAAGGGGAGCGUAGGCCGCAUGUCAAGCGUGCUGUGAAAGGUCCGGGCUCAACCCGGGCCUUGCACGGCGAACUGGCGUGCUUGAGUCCGCGGAAGGCAGGCGGAAUUCGUAGUGUAGCGGUGAAAUGCUUAGAUAUGACGAAGAACCCCGAUUGCGAAGGCAGCUUGCUGCAGCGGAACUGACGCUGAUGCUCGAAAGCGCGGGUAUCGAACAGGAUUAGAUACCCUAGUAGUC
rnacentral:rRNA from 1 species